UACAGAGGGUGCAAGCGUUAAUCGGAAUUACUGGGCGUAAAGCGUGCGUAGACGGUUACAUAAGUCGGGUGUGAAAGCCCCGGGCUCAACCUGGGAAUUGCAUUCGAGACUGCGUAGCUAGGGUGCGGAAGAGGGAAGUGGAAUUUCCGGUGUAGCGGUGAAAUGCGUAGAUAUCUGGAGGAACACCGGUGGCGAAGGCGGCAUCCUGGACCGGUAUUGACGCUGAGGCGCGAAAGCCAGGGGAGCAAACGGG
rnacentral:rRNA from 1 species